CCUACGGGUGGCAGCAGUGAGGAAUAUUGGUCAAUGGGCGAAAGCCUGACCCAGCCAAGUCGCGUGAGGGAAGACGGCCCUACGGGUUGUAAACCUCGUUUGCCGGGGAGCAAGCCUGAGCACGUGUGCCCAGGCGGAGAGUACCCGGAGAAAAAGCAUCGGCAAACUCCGUGCCAGCAGCCGAGGUCAUACGUAGGAUGCGAGCGUUAGCCGGAUUGAUUGGGUUUAAGGGGUGCGCAGGCGGUCUGUUAAGCCGGCGGUAAAAAUUCAGGGCUCAACCCUGUCGUGCCGUAGGAACUGGCAGUCUUGAGUGGGCGAGAAGUAUGCGGAAUGCGUGGUGUAGCGGUGAAAUGCAUAGAUAUCACGCAGAACGCCGAUUGCGAAGGCAGCAUACCGGCGCCCAACUGACGCUGAGGCACGAAAGCGUGGGGAUCGAACAGGAUUAGAUACCCCGGUAGUC
rnacentral:rRNA from 1 species